CACCAAUUCUUCUUUCUGACCUCGGAUUCACGUCCUCCUUGACGCACCAAGAGGCCUCUUAUAACCAGAGGCACGCACGCACCCGCUCCACCAUUGGUAUUCUGAAGGGACGCUGGAUGCGUUUGGACACAGCAGGGGGUAAGCUGCUUUACAAGCCAGAGAAGGUUUGCAGAAUAAUCAUGGCCUGUUGUGUGUUACACAACAUCGCUAUGAAGCGUGGUCUUCCACUUCAGCCACCACACCAGGAUGUGCGUCCUGACCAAAUUGCUGGGACCAGACAACCGACUUGGCGUGGAAGUCAGACAACAAAUAAUUUCUCGUUUUUGAUUUGUUUUGUCCUUUAAAUACCACGAAUUAAACA